AUUGAACGCUGGCGGCAGGCCUAACACAUGCAAGUCGAGCGGGGUUUUCGGACCUAGCGGCGGACGGGUGAGUAAUACGUAGGAACUUACCCUUCAGAGGGGGAUAACCAGGGGAAACCCUGGCUAAUACCGCGUAAUCUCGAGAGAGCAAAGCUGCCGUAAGGUGGCGCUGAAGGAGAGGCCUGCGUCCGAUUAGCUAG
rnacentral:rRNA from 1 species